UACGUAGGUGGCAAGCGUUGUCCGGAAUUAUUGGGCUUAAAGCGCGCGCAGGCGGCCUCUUAAGUCUGAUGUGAAAGCCCCCGGCUCAACCGGGGAGGGCCAUUGGAAACUGGGAGGCUUGAGUAUAGGAGAGAAGAGUGGAAUUCCACGUGUAGCGGUGAAAUGCGUAGAGAUGUGGAGGAACACCAGUGGCGAAGGCGACUCUUUGGCCUAUAACUGACGCUGAGGCGCGAAAGCGUGGGGAGCAAA
rnacentral:rRNA from 1 species